GGCGGGAUAGCUCAGUAGGUAGAGCAGGGGACUGAAAAUCCCCGUGUCCCCGGUUCGAUCCCGGGUCCUGCCACCA
rnacentral:tRNA from 1 species